UGAGGAAUUUUACGCAAUGGGCGAAAGCCUGACGCAGCGACGCCGCGUGAGUGAUGAAGGUCGUAAGAUCGUAAAACUCUUUUCAGGGAUCUUAAAGCCUGUCUGUCAACAACAGGCAGGUCUGACUCUCCCUGGAAGAAGCCCCAGCCAACUACGUGCCAGCAGCUGCGGUAAUACGGGGGGUGCAAGCGUUGUUCGGAAUCAUUGGGCGUAAAGCGCGCGCAGGCGGCUUGGUAAGUCAGAUGUGAAAGCUAUGGGCUCAACCCAUAAACUGCAUCUAAGACUGGUUCUCUUGAGUCCGGGAGAGGAGAGCGGAAUUCCAGGUGUAGCGGUGAAAUGCGUAGAUAUCUGGAAGAACACCAGUGGCGAAGGCGGCUCUCUGGCCUAGGACUGACGCUGAACCGCGAAAGCCAGGGGAGCGAACG
rnacentral:rRNA from 1 species